CCCUUAGAUGUUCUGGGCUGCACGCGUGCUACACUGAUAUUGCCAAUAUGUCAUUCUUAUCCGAAAUGGAUUGGGUAAUCAAGUAAUGAAAUUUCAUGCUUGGAAUCGGUAAUUGCAAUUUUAUCGUGAACGAGGAAUUCCUAGUAAGCACUAGUCAUCAGCUAAUGUUGAUUAUGUCCCUGCCCUUUGUACACACCGCCCGUCGCUACUACUGAUUGGGUGUUCAAGUGAGAUGCUUAGACCCUUGUUGCAUGGUUCAUUAUUGUGCUCCGAAAGGAAAAAUUUUCAAGCUUGAGUGUCUAGAGGAAGUAAAAGUCGUAACA
rnacentral:rRNA from 1 species